UCCGGUGGAGCGGUGAAAUGCAUUGAGAUCGGAAAGAACACCAACGGCGAAAGCACUCUGCUGGGCCGACACUGACACUGAGAGACGAAAGCUAGGGGAGCAAAUGGGAUUAGAGACCCCAGUAGUCCUAGCCGUUAACGAUGGAUACUAGGUGCUGUGCGACUCGACCCGUGCAGUGCUGUAGCUAACGCGUUAAGUAUCCCGCCUGGGGAGUACGUUCGCAAGAAUGAAACUCAAAGGAAUUGACGGGGGCCCGCACAAGCGGUGGAG
rnacentral:ncRNA from 1 species